GGGCAGAGCGAGCCAUUGGGGCGUGUGGGGUUCAGGCUAUGUAGGGGGGAGCCUUAGCUGAGAGAAUAAGCAAGUUUUGAUAGUCAGAGAGUUUGGUAUGAAUUAGCAGACCAGGGUGAGCAGUCUGAUGAGGUCACUAAUAAUUUGGUGUUGGGCAAGGUAAAUACAGAAUCACCAAAACAUCUUGGUGAAGAGCUCAGAAAGACUUGGCAGGUGAUUUUUGGCUAGAGGAUUUGUCACAGGCUGUGCCUUCUGAGUGCAGAAACUGCACUGGCUGAAGCUGUGGUCCAGAGCUGCCCUCCAAGGAAGGUAGCAAGGGACAGUGAUACUUCACUAGCUGGUGUAGAUGGGAAGAAUUAUGUCAUGGGGCCAUAUUGGGUGAGGGAUGACAGACCUCUGUAUGCUGAAAAGCGAACUGACAGAAUCCAAAUUACAGCCUGCUUGUGUCCUGUCUUGAUUCAAUCACAGGCCUAAGCAGCACUGCAUCAGUGUUACAGUUUUGGUCAGACUAGGGUCUAGCAGGAUGGUAAGAUGUUCUUAUGUCUUUAGUGCAAGAGAAAAUAACUGUGGUGGUUUACGUAUGCUGAGGGACAACCAUGUUGUAACUGGGUCUUGUGACACAGCUGAUUCUGUAACGAAGACAGGAUAUUAGAUGAGGAUGCAUCAAGAAUCUCAAGGAGUUAAAGCCUGGGGUGCAUUGCAGCACAGAGUAGGUCCUCAACAGCUGUGGAUUAUUGCUAUGCCUGGCAGUUCUACACUGUUUUAGCAAGCACAUAAGUCAGGGAUCUCAACAAGAGCUCUCGCUGCCUUGCUUUGGAGGAGUACAACAGGUGACUCUGGAGCUGGGAGAAGAUGCAGAGAUAUAAGGGAGGAAACCAGCCAAGGAGGACGUGGCAAGCAGUAGCUCAAGAGGAGAAGGUAUUUUCUCCUUGGGACCUGGAUGAGAGCAUGGAAAUAGAAACUGGGCUCAGAAUAGUUAAGAGGAAAGAGGGAGGAAGGGGUGGGAGCUAAGACAGCCUUGAAGGUACCAUCAGCAUGAUGGUGGGUGCAAAUGAAUGAGAGGGAGACUGCAGCAGGUGAGGAAGUUCUCAUUAAGGAGAACUUAAUGAGAUAAUAAAAGCCUCUGUGAAACCUAGAAGUCCCUAUGCCUUUCCUCUGGUGAAACUUUCCUGGCACGUUUGGUGAGCAGUCCUGGCAGCUGUGGCUUUUCUUCCUCUUUCAUGAAAAUCUUCCUCCUCUAGAAACACUGCUGGGUCCGACAGCAAAGGCCAGCCAGCACCCCGGUGCCCAGUGGGGAUGGCGAGGACCACACCUGUGGUGGCGGUACCCAGAGCAGUGUGGCCGUCGGCCAUCCCUCUGACAGGGAUGCAGGCGUGGGAGCUCCGAAACCCGGCACCUUGCGGAGAUCUGCUGGUUUAUGCUGUAUGGACUUUUCACUGGGGCUCUCACCACCCUGGUGGGGAACAUUACCCACCCAUCGUGCUCUUUCUUUGUUGGGGGGGGGGGGGGAAGCUGAAAUCCGGCCUUGGUACUGGGGUCCCUACAGUAUCCCAUUCCUCCGGGUCCCGUCCCGCCUCCCGCCAGCAUCGCGGGGGCGAGGGGGUAAGAUGGCGCCGGCGGCGACUCCCCUCAGCCGCGCCGCGAGGCCGUGGCGG